ensembl:snRNA U6 U6 spliceosomal RNA
AAAGUACUGUGCUCACAUUAGCCGCACAUAUUGGAGCAAUCCAGAUAUUAGCAUGGUCCCUGCACCAGAAUGACAAGCAAAUUUGUGAAGCAUUCCACAUUUUU